GAUGAACGCUGGCGGCGUGCUUAACACAUGCAAGUCGAACGGAAAGGCUCCUGCUUGCAGGGGUACUCGAGUGGCGAACGGGUGAGUAACACGUGGGUGAUCUGCCCUGCACUUCGGGAUAAGCCUGGGAAACUGGGUCUAAUACCGGAUAGGACGAUGGUUUGGAUGCCAUUGUGGAAAGUUUUUCGGUGUGGGAUGAGCUCGCGGCCUAUCAGCUUGUUGGUGGGGUAAUGGCCUACCAAGGCGUCGACGGGUAGCCGGCCUGAGAGGGUGUACGGCCACAUUGGGACUGAGAUACGGCCCAGACUCCUACGGGAGGCAGCAGUGGGGAAUAUUGCACAAUGGGCGCAAGCCUGAUGCAGCGACGCCGCGUGGGGAAUGACGGCCUUCGGGUUGUAAACUCCUUUCGCUAGGGACGAAGCGCAAGUGACGGUACCUGGAGAAGAAGCACCGGCUAACUACGUG
rnacentral:rRNA from 1 species